ensembl:misc_RNA 7SK 7SK RNA
GGACAGGAGGGUGAUCAGGCUGCGACAUCUGUCACCCCACUGAUCGCCAGGGUUGAUUCGGCUUAUCUGGCUGGCUAGGCGGGCGUCCCCUUCCUCCCUCUCGGCUCCAUAUGCGUCCCUCCCAAAGCUGUGUGCUGGGUGGAAGAGGACGACCACCCCGAUAGAGGAGGACCCUUUCCUUGGUCAAGGUUGUACAAGUAGUUGCACUUCUCUGGUAGAACCUCCAGCAAGCUCUCAAAAUGGGCCGAGAGUACUGCUGUGCCCGCUUGCAUAUUUAUUCUGAGAACCAUAGUGCAGCUGA